rnacentral:lncRNA from 1 species
UACCAAGCUUGGUCUCAGGGGCAUCCGACACCUGUAUACCCCACCAACCCCUCCUAUAUCCCACCUCUAGUGCAGGCUCAGCAGCCUCCCACUCCCAAUACAUCUCCACCCUUCCCGUAUAACACCCAGGGCUAUGCCACAACUUCAUACGACCCUCUAGCUCUACCACCCAAACCGAAUCCUUCUCCGCCCUUGGCUCCAGUUUUUGUGGAACCUCCUCCAGUCGCAUUACAAAG